GUGGAGCCUGCGGCUUAAUUUGACCCAACACGGGAAAACUUACCAGGUCAGGACAUGUGAAGGAUUGACAGUCUGAGAGCACUUUCAUGAUUACAUGGGUGGUGGUGCAUGGCCGUUCUUAGUUGGUGGUGUGAAUUGUCUGGUUGAUUCCGUUAACGAACGAGACCUUCGCCUACUAAAUAGCUGCUGGAAGAUAUUGCGCUAAGGCCGGGGGGCCUACCUGAGGAAGGAUCCGUUCCCCUUGGGUGGUCGUUCUCCUGGUUGCUUUUCUUCCAGAAAAUGCUUCUUAGAGGGACUAUUUGUGACAAGCAAAUGGAAGUUGGAGGCAAAAACAGGUCUGUGAUGCCCUUCGAUGUUCUGGGCUGCACGCGCGCUACACUGACAGAGUCAACGAGUUUACAACCUUGGCCGAAAGGCCUGGGUAAUCUUUUGAAACUCUGUCGUGAUGGGGAUAGAUGAUUGCAAUUAUUCGUCUUGAACGAGGAAUGCCUAGUAAGCGCGGUUCAUCAGACCGCGCUGAUUACGUCCCUGCCCUUUGUAC
rnacentral:rRNA from 1 species